rnacentral:rRNA from 1 species
GUGAACGCUGGCGGUCGGCCUAACACAUGCAAGUCGAACGGCAGCACAGUAAGAGCUUGCUCUUACGGGUGGCGAGUGGCGGACGGGUGAGGAAUACAUCGGAAUCUACUUUUUCGUGGGGGAUAACGUAGGGAAACUUACGCUAAUACCGCAUACGACCUACGGGUGAAAGCAGGGGAUCUUCGGACCUUGCGCGAUUGAAUGAGCCGAUGUCGGAUUAGCUAGUUGGCGGGGUAAAGGCCCACCAAGGCGACGAUCCGUAGCUGGUCUGAGAGGAUGAUCAGCCACACUGGAACUGAGACACGGUCCAGACUCCUACGGGAGGCAGCAGUGGGGAAUAUUGGACAAUGGGCGCAAGCCUGAUCCAGCCAUACCGCGUGGGUGAAGAAGGCCUUCGGGUUGUAAAGCCCUUUUGUUGGGAAAGAAAAGCAGCAGGUUAAUACCCCGCUGUUCUGACGGUACCCAAAGAAUAAGCACCGGCUAACCUCGUG